rnacentral:lncRNA from 1 species
CCUUAUUCGAUUGUUCAAAUAAAUUAGGGUUAGAAUAAUUUCGGUAACUAAUAAGAUAUACAAUCUCUGUGGGACGAUAUUCUACUCUUCAUUAUAUUACUUGUGCCGACUAAUACACUUGCUAAUUUACGCAACAAUAUUUUACAAUAACACUUGGUUGUCUUCGAUCUUCAUAUUGUCGUCUUCGUUGAAGUUCUUUUUCAAGCAAUUGGAAUUUAAGAGACAAGCAUUCCAUUUCAUGCUUGAAGACAUUAUGAUAGAAAACCAGGAUGCUUCCUUGCCAAUGAAGAGGCAAGCAACUGAAGGAAAACAAAAAAAAAGGCCACAACAGUUUCAACAACCAACAAACAGUUAAACUAAAAACAUAUAUAGAGUGGCAGCAGAUACUACAAGCAAUGUAAAGCUAUAAUAUUGAAAGCAAGGAACUAAAUUAUUGAUGGAGAUGACAAGCUCAGUGAUGGAACAGUAUGAAGAUAGAUAUUUUGUUCAAGAAACAAACUCCAGCAGCAUUCUUAUAGAAUAUAUGAAACCAUUAAAUUCUAUUUUGCUUGUUUCACUUUACAAGUCCUCAGGUACAAUUGAAGUUGAAGUUACUUAAAUAUAAUCAAACUAACGUAUCAACAAACCGUAUUACAAUUGAAUCAUCCACUGAACCCUUAAAUAUAAUCAAACUAACUUGUGCAUGUAAUUAAAGCAAUCCCAGUUUCUACAUUCUGGAAAUUACAACAAUAAAUUAAAGCGGCUAAUAGUGAAUCGGCAGGUUAUCAGGUACAUAUGCUUUAGGAUUUUUAAAACUCACUACUUUUAAAACUAAAAUUUAGUACUUAUAAGAAUACUCCGUUCUCCGUCACUUUACAUUACUAAAUUAUGAUCCAUUUGGGAUAGCUAUUAGCCGUUACUACAAGGGAAAAGCAAUCCCAAUUCGGUUUUCUAGGAUUUUCAAUUCCACUAUCCCAAUUUAACCAUUCCGGAAAUUAAAGCAAUAAAUUGAACCGGCUGAACUUGAAAAGCUGAUUGUGUUGGGUGGAGAGAGAGCAACGCACUGAAAUCACUUUGUUGAGAGACCAACGCCCGCGGAUCUGGGCGAGAGAGAGGCCACGAGAGACACCAAAUUCAGCUGAGAGAGGGAGGGAGAGUGAGGGAGCAGAGACAGAACGGAGAAAGGAGCUGCGUGGUGAGUGACGGAUAACGGAGAAUGGAGCGACGAGCUUGGAAAUGCCUGAGCAGAUUGACGGGAGAAAGAGGAGCUGCAUUAUUUUGCUGGAUUUGGUGUGGGGGAUAAGGGAGUUCGCAUGUGUGUGUUGUUUGGUGCACGUACGAAGAGGCUUUUAAAGCUUUUAAAGCUUGCACAAAACGCACCGUUUUGUGCAAGCUUUUGUGCACACUUGUGUGUGAGUACCAUUUUUCAUGUCCUAAUUAGACGAUGAACCGACGAACUUUGUAACUUUAAUAUUUAGUUUCCUCUAACAUUUUAACUUUUUUUUUAUGCUUUUUCAAUAAAUAUAUUUUGAUAGAAUAAGGAUGUUAUGCUUUUUAAGCUAUAAAAAAAAAGGUAAGGAGCAUACUAUGGACUCAUAUAUUUAAUAAAUAGAUCAAAGCCAUUAUUGUCUUUUUCAUACAUUUUUGUGCGAAGAUUUAAUAAUAAUCUUUGUGUGGAAGUUCAUAUACUUUAUGCCUAAAAAGAUGAUAACUCCGAACAUAUGAUUGAACACGAUUUUCAUGUAAAAAGGGUCUUUAUUACCAAAAACGAAAACAAAAACAAAAAUUAUUUUACAACCUUUACAUAAAACAGCUAUAUUGUUUCAUUUGUUGUUAUUUUUAUGAAGAGUGCUAGCGACAAUCGCUCUUAUGAACGACUAUCGCACUCGCCUCUUUCUAAGUAAGACACGUGUCCUCUUACUUAGAUUGUGGUGCAGAUUUAAUUUGUCUCUGUUUUAAAUUUAAGAAUUACAUCACUUUAAAGACUGAAUUCACCACAUUACCCUUACCUUCUAAUUUCUUUUAAAAAAAUUACUCAAUCAUCAAUUCACUUCCUCCACAAUUUUUUUUAUUUUAAAAUAUUUCAUCCCUACCUUUUUAGUUCAAAAUAUCUAUUAUUUCAAUAAUACUUUUUCUCUUGUGAGAUUUUACUUUUCUCACAACUUUCUUUGCAUUUGACGAGCAAGUUCAAAAUUUGAAAAAAAACUAAAUUAAUAAAUAGUAAAAACGGAAUGCAUCAAAUUCUUUAUCCCAACAUAUAAUAUUCAAUUUUUUUUUUAAAGGAACAAAUCUAGAUUUUUUUCACACUCUUUUUCUAAUAUCAGCAUUUGUGUAUAAAUUUUUUAAUGGAGAAAAUAUGAAUUUUUAACAUCAAUAUUUAUUAAUUAAAUUUAGUUGAAGAGAAUCUUAAGAAAAAAAAUUGUGGUGGAAGUAAAUUGAUGGUUGAGUGAGUUUUUUUUAUUAUUAUUUUGAAUAUAAAGUUAAUGUGGUAAAUUCAGCCUUUAAAAUGAUGUAAUUCUCAAAUUUAAAAAAGAGAGAGGUUAAAUAUGCACCACAAUCUCGUAAGAAGACACGUGUCUUUGCUUAGAAAGAGGCGAGUGUGACAUAUGCUUAUAAGAGUGACGGUCGCUAGCACGCCUCUUUUGAUUAUUGUUAUGUUGUCGUUGUUGCUCUGAACAGGGAAAAAUGAAGGGGCCAAAGGAAACUAUACAUAUGAGAGUGCAGAGGGCCAGAGGGGGAGACAUUAGCAAAAGCCUUCACCGUGUUCUCAAUUUGAAAAUUUGAAUCAAAACGUUGUAUUUGACUUUUGUAAUAAAUUGCCUUAAGAAAUAUAUUUCUUAAGAUAUUUCUUAAAUGACCACAUUAUUUUUUAAAAAAAGAUAAUAAUUCGGGAAUAAAAUUUUGAAAAUCAUAACUGGGGAGAAUGACACGCAUCAUGUUUUUUUUACCAAUAAUGUUCCUACUAUUGUUUUUUAAUUACUAGUUACAUCCAUAAUGUUAAAUAAUAAUUGAAUUUUUUUUUUGUUGAUGCUGAAAUCUGAUCGCCCUUUGACCGACCAGAUCGUUCCACCAACGCUUGUAUGGUCAAUGGACAAGAUGCCGCCCUCUCCCUACUUCGGCAAUUAUUCCAGCUCUUGGGGUUGGAAUCACCCUUUCUUUUCGUUCUAAUCUUGCGUUCACAGAAACAAAUCAGAGACGCCGGUAGUUUUGCCGACGUAAACCCUCCGAUGCUUAAGUUAGCACAAGGUGUUUACGGGAAAACUAUGUAAUUUAAAUUGUGUGAAUUCCUUAUAAUGCUCUCAACCUAAGGUAUCUCCAAGAUUUGUAUGAAAUAUAAUCUGGUUGCAAUUUGGUAGAGUUUUCCCUUUCCCUCAAUUUUUGUUGUCCCCUUCUUCAUCGGUCUCUUGGCUUCUUAUAGCAAUCAUCCUACGUUUUCUGAGUAUUCUUCAUGCCCCCCAUUUUCGGGUGAUGACAGGCUCUCAUGGGUCUCCAACCACCGAAUCGUGGGUAAACGUGGGACGUCACGUUCUCCCCAGCGAUUCGGGACAUGGCGAAACUAUUGCGAUUUCGUGAGAUCGUGUCCUCUUUCUUUGGGUGAUGAGCAUCUGGACGGUACGUAUCUCUGGUCGGUGCUCGUUUCUAGUUGGCACAUGCCCGUACAUGACGUUUUACCAGGACUCUGCUCGUGCCAUUCAGCUGGGGAGAUUUGCCUCAGGGUGAGGAUGAGGACAUAGCUGAGCUGGUACUUUUCAUUACUCACAUAACUGAGCUGGUCCUUUUCAUUACUCAACACUUCUUUUCCCCUUUGGUUUCGUUUAUCAUUAUACUCUUUAUAUCAGUCUAACGUGAUGUGUUCAUGGAGCAAAACCAUUCGUUUAAAUGCAUACAACUAUAAUAAAGUAAGUAAUGGAUUAUUAAGCAAUAACUAUUGGGGUGUGACACUGUAAACCUUUAUCUUUAUAAAAAUCUGCAUUUUAUUACAUUUUUAUUUACACCGACGUUGUGUUCAAAUUUAUCCAAAAUUGUAAUAUAUCAUAAAAUGUUGAGGACACAACUAUUUCUUAAGCCCAAAUACUAAUCGACUAUGAUUUUUUCCCCAUUAAAAAAAAAACGAUAAAUGUUCUCUGUCGUUUAUUUUUUAUUUAUUAAAGGGUAAAUUUAGUAAUUAUCACAGUAUUUUAAUUUGACUUAUUCCUUUCAUAGAGGAUGGAGGAAUGAACUACCGAGUACCAACUAUUAUUUUUGUUUUGAUUGUUUGUCUGAGGGUUUUUUUUCCUAUGCUUUUGGAAAGUCUCUAGUUUUGUUUUAAUAAAACUUUAACAUUUUAAAAAAUAAUUAUAAUUCCGUUUAUAAAUAAAGUAAAGCUACAAUACAAGUAUCUUGUACAAAAUAGGAUGAUAAUAACGUGUGAUGAUAAAAUUGUUUCUUAAUAACAUUUUCACUACUUUCCGUUUGGAACCAUAACAAUUAGGGUUGGCAAAAUAUGGGCUGAGACUGGGUUUUUCCAAACUCAAGCCCAAGCCUCUAUUAUUAAUAAUAAGUCCAAAUUCUUUAAAAGCUUGUCAAAGUUUGGACAGGUCAGGCUUGAGCUUUUCUUUUAAAUAUGAAAUAAUUUUUUUAAAAAAUAAAAAAAAAUUAAAUUAAAGAUAAUUGUCCGAUAUAUAUAAUAGAAUAAUAGUUUAAUAUAUAAAAUAUUAAUUAUACAACAUAAUAAAUCACAAAUACUAUUAUAAAAAAUUUAUUAAUUUAAUAUUUUGAAUUUUUUAUUUAAAUUUAAUUUAAUUUAUAAAAAUUCAGGCCAAAUCCAACCCUAAUCUAUGUAAAUUUUAAAUUUUUUGUCCUAUAUUCAUACCAAGCCUAUACAAGUCAAGUACUAGGUCCACAGACUUGGUCAGCCUGAAUUUUUUUGCUAACUCUAAAUUAACGAUCCAAAAGCAAAAUUAUAAAAUGAUGUAAAUUGAUCAAAAUAUUAAGGAAUAAAAUCGAUAACUAAGUACAAUGUUCGACUAGAAGGCAUUGUCCGAUUAGGAAAAUAUCAAUAAAAUUUGAUAAUUUUAUGGUGUAUAGAAUAUAUGGAAUGGAACUCUGAAAUACCAUAGUCAAGUUCGUUCAUGUGUUGAAACAUUCUAGAAAAGAGAGAUUGAUUUUUUUUUUUUUUUUUUUUUACAGAGGAAAAACAAUUAUAAAAGGAAACUAUAGAAACCUUUUUCACAAAUUCCAAGCACCCACGCGGUUAGCGUAAGUUACAAGUUGUUUUAGAAUGCGCUAAUAUUCGGACAAAUGGCGAAACGUUGAACAAAUUCCAGUGAGCCGUAACGAAUUAUUAUUAUUUUAUUUUAUUUUAUUGUAAGAGAACUUUAAAAUUCAAGGAGUCUUUUAAUUCAUUCGCCGCUUCUUAGAAUUUUCUCGGAAACUCUUCAUUUUCUCGGGAAAAUGACACAAAAAUUGUAAACAAAUAAUAACAGUUAAAUAAAAUAAUAAUCUGAAACAUGAGAAGAUCAAUAUGGGCGGACGAUGCAAAUGCGCCAUCAGGCUCGAGCUCGGAAUCACGCUUUCCUCCUCAAGCUGCUUCUACCCAUCGCAAUUCGAGGCUAAGGUGCUCAGUUGAUCUUAAUUUGAAUGAAUUGAUGUUCUUUUUCAUAUGUCGAUUUUUUUUUUUUUUGCGUAAUUUUAAAUUCUAUUUUCUAUUAAUUCAGCUUGAAAAUGCAUUUUUUUUUGUUAAUGUUAACAGCUGUAGUUUGUUACAUUUAAUUAGGAACUUAAAUGUUAAUUAAUGUUGCUAAAAGUAUUUGAAAUUAAUGUAAUUUCUAUGUUAAUUGUUAGUCACAUUGACUGAUUAGCCAAGAUUUUAUUUGUAUUGGUUUAAGCUUUACUUCAGACUCUGCAUUUAAUUUGUCCUCUUUUGCAAUAAAGCAGUUGAUUAAGUUUAAAUUUAUGCUGCAAUUAACUAAGAAAUGGCAGUUAAUACUUGAUAGCACAAUAAGUCCAAAUUAAGCAGUGGCACUUUGUUUGUGUGCUUCUUUCUUAAUAUUUCAAUUGGCAUGUGCAAUGCCCAUAGCUAUGUCUGUUGUGUUCUGUGUGGAAAAGAUCAAGUGUCUGCUGAUUUAAUUUAACUUUUUUUUUUAAUUUUCUUCUUGAAAUUUGGUAAUGUCAGGAAUGUUUUUGGACUGUUGGCGCAAAGAGAGGUUGCUCCUCGGACCAAGCAUUCAUCCAAAAGACUAUUGGGUGAAACUGCUAGAAAGUGUUCUGGUUCAUUUUCACAGAUUUUUGAAGCGGGAAGAGAUGCAAGGCGUGGUCUUGCCUCAUGGUGAUUUCCGGAUUUUCUUUUUCCUUUUCUUAUCUUGAUGCAUGCUACAGUGUCAGAAAGCUUCUUCCAUUUUAGAUGGUUAAAUUUACUGUGGUUUUUAGGUAUUUGACUUCAUUUUUCAGAUUUGAACUUGCUGCAAUGUAUUCAGGGUAGAAGCAGAAUCAUUACACCAUUUAAGACCCAAAUAUUGUCCACUGUCUCCUCCUCCAAGGUCAACUAUAGCAGCAGCCUUCAGUCCCGAUGGCAAGACACUUGCUUCUACACAGUGAGUUAUGAUUUAUUUUCUUAAUUGAUUCUAGGAGUUAAGGGUGAUUUAUAGAUUUUGUUUUAUGAAUGCCAAGAUGUGCUUAAAUUUUCCAAUUGCAAUUGGAUCUAUCCAUGCAGCGGUGAUCAUACUGUAAAGAUUAUUGAUUGCCAAACAGGAAGCUGCUUAAAGGUUUUGCAUGGUCAUCGGAGGACACCCUGGGUGGUAAGGCUCUGUUAUGUUCACUUUGACUUGGUUAUCUAUUUUCUUGAUUACCCAUCAGUUUCUACUUGCUUCAAAGAAAAUAUUAUAUGAACACUGCCAUGAAUAAGGAAAUAGCAUAUAAGAUUUGGCAUUGCAAGUGGUUUUUCGGUUAGGGCUUUGUUGGAAUCAUAGUCUGUUACUAUUAGCUUUUUUCUGUUUGCUUAUUUCCCUCAGUACAUGCCAAAGCUAUACGCUUUGAGCAUCCUUGCAAAUAUAAUUGAUUUCAAUCAUCCUAGCUUAAGUUCCCUUCAUUCUUCCAUAUCUAACACAACACAUCAUUACCUUUUGUCCAAAUUAUUACUAUUAUUUUUUAAUUUUAUUUUUACCUUUAAACUGCUCAAAUUCUUUGUUCCUAAUCUGCUGUCAUGAACUGUCUUUUCUUAGAUUACAGGUUGUCGGGGCUCUUGGCUUUUCCUCAGCUCUUUUUUAUUUUCAUUCUUCAUCUUUUUCGUUAAAUUACUUCAACAUGUCGAAAAUGAUCUUUAUUACCAGUUGUUACUCUUCUUGAAUAUCAUGAAUUACUUGAGCCACCUCUUUCCUUCUCAUGUAGUUGGAGUUCUUUUUCAGGUUAGGUUUCAUCCAUUGAAUCCCACGAUUAUUGCCA